UUCUCACACUGUGUAGACAUAUAUGAACAGAUUGAUACAUAUAACAUGUCAGGAAAGUAACACAAAACAAACAUUUAUUCCUAGAUUUUCAUUAAUGGUUGGUUGUAUCCAGCAUUUGAUAUUGAAAACGAGAAGAAUACUCUAGAGGGAGAAAGAACCUUGAAGCCAGUGUGAGAGUGCGGCCCUCUUCUAUGGCUUGAUUUCCUCCGGAAAAUGUUUCCUUGAGGAAGGUAAGUCUCCUGAGCUCAACCUCCAUGUAAAU